rnacentral:rRNA from 1 species
AUUGAACGCUGGCGGCAGGCCUAACACAUGCAAGUCGAGCGGAUGAAGGGAGCUUGCUCCUGGAUUCAGCGGAGGACGGGUGAGUAAUGCCUAGGAAUCUGCCUGGUAGUGGGGGAUAACGUCCGGAAACGGGCGCUAAUACCGCAUACGUCCUGAGGGAGAAAGUGGGGGAUCGUCGGACCUCACGCUAUCAGAUGAGCCUAGGUCGGAUUAGCUAGUUGGUGGCGUAAAGGCCUACCAAGGCGACGAUCCGUAACUGGUCUGAGAGGAUGAUCAGUCACACUGGAACUGAGACACGGCCCAGACUCCUGCGGGAGGCAGCAGUGGGGAAUAUUGGACGAUGGGCGAAAGCCUGAUCCAGCCAUGCGGCGUGUGUGAAGAAGGUCUUCGGAUUGUAAAGCGCUUUAAGUUGGGAGGAAGGGCAGUAAGUUAAUCCCUUGCUGUUUUGACGUUACCAACAGAAUAAGCCCCGGCUAACUUCGUG